rnacentral:tRNA from 1 species
GCCGAAGUGGUGGAACUGGCAGACACGCAGCGUUCAGGGCGCUGUGGGUGUAACGCCCAUGAGGGUUCAAAUCCCUCCUUCGGCACCA